rnacentral:misc_RNA from 2 species
CAGAGUGCGAGGCUCAGUCGCGGCGUCUGCCGCGUGCUGGGCCGACCCUCCCACCCGUGUCGAUUUGUAUCUUGUUGCUUUGGCGGGCCGGGCCGCGUCGUCGCUGUUCGCAAGGACCUGCGUCGGCCGCCCACCGGUUUUGAACUGGAGCGCGCCCGCCAAAGACCCAACCAAAACUCAUGUUGUUUGUGUCGUCUCAGCUUUAUUAUGAAAAUUGAUA